UUGGUCGAAGCAGGCUUUGGAGACUAAUGAAAGCAAGAGCGCCCGUGUCAAAGCCCAUGUAACAGUGGGCACAUUGUGAGGCGGUAAUUCCACAACUUUGCCCCGAACUGUGGGCCAAGAAACCCUUUUGUUCCUCUGAGUUCAGAUUCUAUGAAUAAAUAGGCCAACAAAUCAAGGGGUAGCCACGCAGCAUGGAGCUCAUGUCCAAGACGGUGAAAUAACGUGUGUGGGAGGAGCGAAGCGAAUCAAAACUACUGAAGGUUAUCUUCACAAAUCAACAACAUUUUAAUUCUGGGCAUCCGAGCAAGACCAAAAAGACUUGACACGGCCAUGCUAGAUUUACCCUGGACUUCAAGCCACAACACAUUCCUUUCAGAUAGUUAAAUGCAAACCACUAGGUAUAUUUAGCAUGGUAGUGAAUGCUAGGCGUUGUGAGUUAUCUUGAGCUUAAGCUGACAGAGUGGUUGCCAUGAUCAUCCCAUACUGGUCCAAGACUGCAGGUCCUUCCAUUUAUUGAGAACCAUGUUGUUUAAAAAUGUGCAAAUUGAAGAUUAAAAGUCUAUUAAUCUAUGUGCCUGGGCAGGCCUGGAUUUAUGUCAGAGUGGGCAGCUGUUUCCCUGGGGGGCCAGAUAGGCCAGCUAAUUUCACACAAGGCAUAGCCUACCUCAGGGUGCUUUCCUGUCAUUAUUCAGUACGACCUGAGGAACUGAUUAAUGACAACUGUACAUUAACGUACAGAAGAUGAGACAAAAGCCAUUAGUCAAUUAACCUCUGGUUCUUCAGUGUCAUGUUCCAGAGAAGCAUCGAACGACACAAUGGGGAUGAAAUAGUCACUUUCCAAUCCAUAUGAACUGUCUGCUUGUACUUCAGAGAGGAACGUGGAGAGGACAGCAAAUGAAGAGGCACCCUGCAAUGCUGUGCCUCUGCUGGGACAGGCCAAGCAUUUGACCAGAGGCCACAAGACAGGAGCGUGCAGCUGGUUGCAUCUGUUUACAUGAAUGUGCUCCCAAAGGUUUUAUAUAGACUCAAGGAUCAUUGGGAAACAAAACUGAGGUUACUUUAUUGAGACUAUAGAAAUUGGGGGUUACAACAUGAGUAUACAAACUGUAAUAUAUAGCCUGAUUGACAUAAAAGUCCAGUGUGGUACAUACCUCAUAACCAAACCAAGAAAUAAAUAAAUAAACAAAAGCAGACAUCUGCACUACAUGUUCUAGGGAAGCAGGGAGUUCUUCAAAUGGAAAAGCAUUUAAUGUUAUCCCAACGUCAUGCCAGUACUCUAAAUGACGGAAGUGUAAAACAUAAGCCAUCUCCACCUCCAAAGGGUUUACACACUUGCAAAUGACUCAUAGAUAAGCUUACUAACAUGAGUUUAUGACUUCCACACCCUUGCUUAAUGACCUGAAGUAGGUGUGGGGUUAAAAAUAUUAGUCAUUUUCUGAUGUUUCUGGCACAAUACUAUUUCACUUUCGCCAUUCUUACAGAGCAAGAUUAGUGAUACAACCGAAUCUGUAGUUUCAAAAGUGUCCAACACUUCCUAUAUUCCUUGAAGAGUUUUGCCAGAAAAGAUAAGAACAACUUACUCUCUACAUUUAGACUUUGACUGCUACAUUGACCACAAAUAAAAACACAGCAAGGUCAAGUCGAGGAGCUGAAAACGAGGGAUUUUCAGCCUGAGAGAAAGGCAAGCCAAAUAUGGAAAUGUCACAUGUUACUUUCCCUGCAACUGUGGGGAACAAGGCAGGUGUGCUAUGCAAACACAUUUGGUCAAUUGGUGUAACAGACUUCACAGUGUUAUAGUCAUUUCUCCCCACAACCCUUUCGUCUUCUCAAUGCUUAACUUAUUUUAUUCUCUCUUCCAAAUGCUUUCAUGAUCCGAAUCUUGCUAAAUGUUUCAUUCUUUUGUUUAAUUGUAUUCCUUUGCCUAAAAAAAUACAACUCCCAAUUCCUAUCAGAGAAGCCAUUUCUUAAUAGAAAUCCUUCCUGUGAUAAAAGGAUAAGAAAUAUCGAGUUAAACAAGUUGUGCCUGCUUUCAGCUGGUCAUCUGGGAUCUUCAGUGAUGGUCAACUUUAAUUUGACAUCACUGCUUUGAAUUGAAUCAACCAUUCCAGUGACACAUCAGACUGACAGGACCAUGGAGCAAUUAGUUAAUUAUCUGAUCUAAUGUUGGUGGAGAUGCAUUCUCAGCUGCUUCACAUAGCAACACGUCCAUUUUACCAGUUCCGCAGGAGACUGUCCAAUGUGGGACCGUGUUUUAUUAUAGUAUUGAGGCCAUAUAAGUAUGUAACCAAUAAAAUGGAUGGUAGGCUAUGUAUAAAAUAUGGGGGAGGGGGACCUGCAAUUUGCGUUUCUAGAAAAAGGGGAGUGCCAGAAGACUUAUGGGCUAGAACUGUUGAAAUUCCGUUGCAAAUUAAAACUUCGAUUGUUCUGUGAUGGCCUACUUCACGGCUCUCUAAAACAGCGAGGACACAGAACAGGAAGCUCAGCAACGCUGGAUCACGUCAUCGCAUGCCUGCACUGGCAGCCCAUGUUGGCCAUGCCGUUUCCCCGUCUAUGACGUCCUAUGGGACCCCACCAGCACAGCACCAUCUGAUCUGUGCCCAUCACUCAUCUCUGCUCUGAGAAGAGGAGGAUCCGUCACGGCCCCCAACAAGAAAAGGACGGCUGUAUGUCUCAUUUCCAGACACAAGAGACCCUGAACACUCAGCGUUAAGGUGAGCUGCCCAGACCACAGUCUCUUCUCCAACCCCCGGACUCGCCACGACUCAUCACUAUCAAACAAGCCAUUUGGCAGCUGACUAAGGACAGUGAGGGAGGUGUGGCAGUGGUGGGAGAGAGAGAGAAACGCUGCACCAGACAACAAUCCUUCACCGCGCCUCCUCAUAGCUUCAUGCAGAUUCCCUUCAGCCCUCUCACGGCGCUUAUGAUUCAUUUAGCAGACUUCUCUCCCUGGCAUCCACUCCUCCAAGCAUAACGGAUGAGAUUCAUUUUUUGCUUCCCUCGCAUCUUUUUAAACUAAACUCCAGCCAAAGCAUCAAACAAAUAAGUGCAAAUCAUGGGAAAUGGCGCUACCACUCAGUCUUUUAAGCAGGUUACUUGAGAUGGCUGCCUAGGUUGCUGUUUAUUUUUUUUAUGGUUACUGCCUGCCCUAAAUGCCUUGAUAAAUGGUUCUCCUUGUUUGAGUUUCUGUCUGGGGUACACCAGACCAAACAGCUCAGUGGCGAAGCCAUUAAGGAAAACAGAUCACCGAAUGCAGAUGAGACACCUGCUGAGUAGAAAUAAGAAUAAGAUGGAGUCCUUCACACCAAAUCAUCUGUUAAUGAAUGCUUUCAAAUAAAAAGCUUGUCUCAGUAAUUAGGGGAUGGCUUGCAACACUAACACAAAGUCAAAUUACGUGCAUGUUGUUCCCAUGGCACUAAUGUACUGUCUAACUCUCUGUGGG